AUUGAACGCUGGCGGCAGGCCUAACACAUGCAAGUCGAACGAGUGGCGGACGGGUAAGUAAUGUCUGGGAAACUGCCUGAUGGAGGGGAAUAACUACUGGAAACGGUAGCUAAUACCGCAUACUAUCAGAUGUGCCCAGAUGGGAUUAGCUUGUUGGUGGGGUAACGGCGCACCAAGGCGACGAUCCCUAGCUGGUCUGAGAGGAUGACCAGCCACACUGGAACUGAGACACGGCCCAGACUCCUACGGGAGGCAGCAGUGGGGAAUAUUGGACAAUGGGCGCAAGCCUGAUGCAGCCAUGCCGCGGGUAUGAAGAAGGUCUUCGGGUUGUAAAGUACUUUCAGCGGGGAGGCGGUACCCGAAGAAGAAGCACCGGCUAACUACGUGCCAGCAGCCGCGGUAAUAC
rnacentral:rRNA from 1 species